ensembl:lncRNA
GGAAGCAGCUUAACAGAUGACAGGAAGUUAAUUAGUACUCCCUCUGCAUCAUAACAAAUUUCCUCAGGGUCAGAACAAAGUUUUAUUAACAAAAUAGUAGUGUGGUGAAAUAGCUUGCCCAAUUAUUUUGAGGAAAUGGAGGGAAUUGUUUUUUGCUUGUAUUGGCAUUCCCGGUGCUUAGCAUUGUGCUGGGGAAAUAGUAAAAGCUCAAAAAUUACAUUAUUCAUCCAUGCGAGGGAGUGACUGUUGUUGGCGUUCGGUCUAGUCCAUCAACAUCAUCCAGUCCUGCCUUUUCUGUUUACGGUUAAGGAAUGCCUUAUUAAUGCCAGGUAGGAGGCAAGGCAAGGAUUCCAAUGCAGGUCUUCUCACUUUGGAGUCAGAAUUUCUUUUCUCUCUUCUUUCUACCACCGGAAGUUGCCUCUUGCUAGUCAUGUAGAUGGGGCGAAGAGGAAGGUAGGCUCUUCCAAACCGCUCAAGAAGGGCCAGACUUGGAGCAGCAUAAGAAAAAUCCUUGCAUGACAGCAGAUUCCAGCAGGCGAUAUUAGAGACUGCAAAGGCAGAUCCUGAAACACUGAAGGUCUAGCGCUAGCCUUCCAAGUCCAUCGCCACUGAACUCGGGAAGUGAGUUAAAAUGAAAGUCCAAAGUAACUGCAGCUAAGAGGGGAGAACGGAAGUGCAAACAUUUUCUCUUUACCCAUUGGAGCCCCAGUGAGGAUGAAACACAAGGACUUCUCUACAUUGGGUCUUGAUCAUCUUUUUUUCUGAACCUAUUCCUGAAUCUUGCCCAUCAAUCCCAAAUGCCUGUUCCUCUCCUAUGUUAUAGCAAAUAUUCAUUAAAUAUCCAAGAAGUUGAGGUGCUGUCAACAGGGAGCACAGGAAGAUGUGGAGUGAGGGAAACUAUGGCUUUCUCCUCAGAAAGCACUUGAUUUAAUCACCAGAAGUGGAAACACCCCAUUCACACUUGAGUGGGGGGAGGUCUAUGACCCACAUGUGUGAGAGUGGUUGACGAAUCAGAAUCUACUGACUGCUCCUGGAAAGUCCUAAACAAAGCUUUAGAUGAUGAUUUGUCCACAUAAAAAAUGGAGGAAGGCACAGGAAGUGACCCAAAAGAAAGUGUCUUUAAAAGGGAGUUAUAACUUCCUGUGGAGGAGAAUCGUUUGAGAUUUGUGGGGGAUUCAUCUGAGAUCUUCAGAGAGACAGCAACUUCUUCUAGAGUUCUGAGUUGGAGUUGGAGACUGGUGAAGAAUCUUCUGACUGGACCUGAGACCCUGUGCAUGGUGAGACUGUCGAAUCUCUCCCCUUUGGACUAACAUGUGGUGAGUGAGAAGAGCUGACUCUUUUCCUGGAUUUUCUGAAGAGACUAGCCUCAGGAGAGACCUAUCCUCUUGAGAGAGGCUCCCUGCAUCCCCAAGUCCUUGGCUAUAAGGGCUGAGGCCCCUCUGGCUAAGGACUAACUAGCCCUUCCUGUUUUUGAGCCAGAGAUUAGAGUAAAUUACUUAGUACUUAGGCUAGAUAUCUUACCCUGUCCUCUCUCAGAUUUUCUUACUCACUCUUUCUAUAUUUUGUAAAUAAAUCUCUGGAAUAAAUUAAAUUCCUGGUGACU